UUCGGGGUGGAUUAGUGGCGAACGGGUGAGUAACACGUGGGCAAUCUGCCCUGCACUCUGGGACAAGCCCUGGAAACGGGGUCUAAUACCGGAUACUGAUCGCCUUGGGCAUCCUUGGUGAUCGAAAGCUCCGGCGGUGCAGGAUGAGCCCGCGGCCUAUCAGCUUGUUGGUGAGGUAAUGGCUCACCAAGGCGACGACGGGUAGCCGGCCUGAGAGGGCGACCGGCCACACUGGGACUGAGACACGGCCCAGACUCCUACGGGAGGCAGCAGUGGGGAAUAUUGCACAAUGGGCGAAAGCCUGAUGCAGCGACGCCGCGUGAGGGAUGACGGCCUUCGGGUUGUAAACCUCUUUCAGCAGGGAAGAAGCGAAAGUGACGGUACCUGCAGAAGAAGCGCCGGCUAACUACGUGCCAGCAGCCGCGGUAAUACGUAGGGCGCGAGCGUUGUCCGGAAUUAUUGGGCGUAAAGAGCUCGUAGGCGGCUUGUCGCGUCGGUUGUGAAAGCCCGGGGCUUAACCCCGGGUCUGCAGUCGAUACGGGCAGGCUAGAGUUCGGUAGGGGAGAUCGGAAUUCCUGGUGUAGCGGUGAAAUGCGCAGAUAUCAGGAGGAACACCGGUGGCGAAGGCGGAUCUCUGGGCCGAUACUGACGCUGAGGAGCGAAAGCGUGGGGAGCGAACAGGAUUAGAUACCCUGGUAGUCCACGCCGUAAACGGUGGGCACUAGGUGUGGGCGACAUUCCACGUCGUCCGUGCCGCAGCUAACGCAUUAAG
rnacentral:rRNA from 1 species